UACGUAGGUCCCGAGCGUUGUCCGGAUCUAUUGGGCGUAAAGCGAGCGCAGGUGGUUUAUUAAGUCUGGUGUAAAAGGCAGUGGCUCAACCAUUGUAUGCAUUGGAAACUGGUAGACUUGAGUGCAGGAGAGGAGAGUGGAAUUCCAUGUGUAGCGGUGAAAUGCGUAGAUAUAUGGAAGAACACCAGUGGCGAAAGCGGCUCUCUGGUCUGUAACUGACGCUGAGGUUCGAAAGCGUGGGUAGCAAACAGG
rnacentral:rRNA from 1 species